rnacentral:rRNA from 1 species
UAUCGAGUUUUGAACGGGUUGUCUGCUGGCUCGCAAGGGCAUGUGCACGCCUGUCUCAUCCACUCUCAACUUCUGUGCACUUUUCAUAGGCCGGCUUGUGGGUGCGUUCGCGCACUUGUAGGUGUCGGGCUUAUGCUUUACUACAAACGAUUCAGUUUUAGAAUGUCAUACUUUGCUAUAACGCAAUUUAUAUACAACUUUCAGCAACGGAUCUCUUGGCUCUCGCAUCGAUGAAGAACGCAGCGAAAUGCGAUAAGUAAUGUGAAUUGCAGAAUUCAGUGAAUCAUCGAAUCUUUGAACGCACCUUGCGCUCCUUGGUAUUCCGAGGAGCAUGCCUGUUUGAGUCUCAUGGAAUUCUCAACCUUCGGCUUUAUUGACGAAGGCUUGGACUUGGAGGUCGUGCCGGCUCUCGUAGUCGGCUCCUCUGAAAUGCAUUAGUGCGAACGUUACCAGCCGCUUCAGCGUGAUAAUUAUCUGCGUUGCUGUGGAGGGUAUUCUAGUGUUCGCGCUUCUAACCGUCUUCGGACA